rnacentral:rRNA from 1 species
UUUUAUGGAGAGUUUGAUCCUGGCUCAGGAUGAACGCUGGCGGCGUGCCUAAUACAUGCAAGUCGAGCGAACGGACGAGAAGCUUGCUUCUCUGAUGUUAGCGGCGGACGGGUGAGUAACACGUGGAUAACCUACCUAUAAGACUGGGAUAACUUCGGGAAACCGGAGCUAAUACCGGAUAAUAUUUUGAACCGCAUGGUUCAAAAGUAAAAGACGGUCUUGCUGUCACUUAUAGAUGGAUCCGCGCUGCAUUAGCUAGUUGGUAAGGUAACGGCUUACCAAGGCAACGAUGCAUAGCCGACCUGAGAGGGUGAUCGGCCACACUGGAACUGAGACACGGUCCAGACUCCUACGGGAGGCAGCAGUAGGGAAUCUUCCGCAAUGGGCGAAAGCCUGACGGAGCAACGCCGCGUGAGUGAUGAAGGUCUUCGGAUCGUAAAACUCUGUUAUUAGGGAAGAACAUAUGUGUAAGUAACUGUGCACAUCUUGACGGUACCUAAUCAGAAAGCCACGGCUAACUACGUGCCAGCAGCCGCGGUAAUACGUAGGUGGCAAGCGUUAUCCGGAAUUAUUGGGCGUAAAGCGCGCGUAGGCGGUUUUUUAAGUCUGAUGUGAAAGCCCACGGCUCAACCGUGGAGGGUCAUUGGAAACUGGAAAACUUGAGUGCAGAAGAGGAAAGUGGAAUUCCAUGUGUAGCGGUGAAAUGCGCAGAGAUAUGGAGGAACACCAGUGGCGAAGGCGACUUUCUGGUCUGUAACUGACGCUGAUGUGCGAAAGCGUGGGGAUCAAACAGGAUUAGAUACCCUGGUAGUCCACGCCGUAAACGAUGAGUGCUAAGUGUUAGGGGGUUUCCGCCCCUUAGUGCUGCAGCUAACGCAUUAAGCACUCCGCCUGGGGAGUACGACCGCAAGGUUGAAACUCAAAGGAAUUGACGGGGACCCGCACAAGCGGUGGAGCAUGUGGUUUAAUUCGAAGCAACGCGAAGAACCUUACCAAAUCUUGACAUCCUUUGACAACUCUAGAGAUAGAGCCUUCCCCUUCGGGGGACAAAGUGACAGGUGGUGCAUGGUUGUCGUCAGCUCGUGUCGUGAGAUGUUGGGUUAAGUCCCGCAACGAGCGCAACCCUUAAGCUUAGUUGCCAUCAUUAAGUUGGGCACUCUAAGUUGACUGCCGGUGACAAACCGGAGGAAGGUGGGGAUGACGUCAAAUCAUCAUGCCCCUUAUGAUUUGGGCUACACACGUGCUACAAUGGACAAUACAAAGGGCAGCGAAACCGCGAGGUCAAGCAAAUCCCAUAAAGUUGUUCUCAGUUCGGAUUGUAGUCUGCAACUCGACUACAUGAAGCUGGAAUCGCUAGUAAUCGUAGAUCAGCAUGCUACGGUGAAUACGUUCCCGGGUCUUGUACACACCGCCCGUCACACCACGAGAGUUUGUAACACCCGAAGCCGGUGGAGUAACCUUUUAGGAGCUAGCCGUCGAAGGUGGGACAAAUGAUUGGGGUGAAGUC